GUAGUUGCAUAUUAAAAGAAGCCUCUGGAAGAGAGCAGCGCUCCCUCGGAGCUUUGUGCCCUCGGUUUGGAGACGACGCGCCUGAAGGAUGGGAUGGUGGUGGCCGUUAGCGCCUCUCCUCAAGCCGCAGCUGGGAUGGACUCGGGCCCCAGGGAAGCUCCUUACCCCGCGCCGGUUGGCACGGAGUGUUUCAGGUUAAGGACAACAUGUCAGGGCCAGCGGGCAGCCAGAUCACAGCCUGCAGCCCUGCAGCUCCUCAAUCUUCAUAGGCCAUCCCGUCUGGCCCUGCUAGCAGCUCCCCGGCUCUGUAGGCAGAUGGUUCCAGCAGGAGACCCACCCCCGGGAGGGCUGCGCCCCAGUCACCCACCUCAUCUCACCCAGGCUCCGCUGCUGACUCCUUGCUUCACUUUAAAAAUACCAUCUGAUGGCUCAGCAGCCUAG
rnacentral:lncRNA from 1 species